rnacentral:rRNA from 1 species
GACGAACGCUGGCGGCGUGCUUAACACAUGCAAGUCGAACGGAAAGGCCCUGCUUUUGUGGGGUGCUCGAGUGGCGAACGGGUGAGUAACACGUGAGUAACCUGCCCUUGACUUUGGGAUAACUUCAGGAAACUGGGGCUAAUACCGGAUAGGAGCUCCUGCUGCAUGGUGGGGGUUGGAAAGUUUUGGCGGUUGGGGAUGGACUCGCGGCUUAUCAGCUUGUUGGUGGGGUAGUGGCUUACCAAGGCUUUGACGGGUAGCCGGCCUGAGAGGGUGACCGGCCACAUUGGCACUGAGAUACGGCCCAGACUCCUACGGGAGGCAGCAGUGGGGAAUAUUGCACAAUGGGCGGAAGCCUGAUGCAGCAACGCCGCGUGCGGGAUGACGGCCUUCGGGUUGUAAGCCGCUUUCGCCUGUGACGAAGCGUGAGUGACGGUAAUGGGUAAAGAAGCACCGGCUAACUACUU